UACGGAGGGUGCAAGCGUUUAUCCGGAUUCACUGGGUUUAAAGGGUGUGUAGGCGGGUAGUUAAGUCAGUGGUGAAAUCUCCGGGCUCAACCCGGAAACUGCCAUUGAUACUAUCUAUCUUGAAUUUUGUUGAGGUAGGCGGAAUAUGUCAUGUAGCGGUGAAAUGCAUAGAUAUGACAUAGAACACCAAUUGCGAAGGCAGCUUACUAAGCAAAUAUUGACGCUGAGGCACGAAAGCGUGGGGAUCAAACAGG
rnacentral:rRNA from 1 species